GACGAACGCUGGCGGCGUGCCUAAUACAUGCAAGUAGAACGCUGAAGGAGGAGCUUGCUUCUCUGGAUGAGUCGCGAACGGGUGAGUAACGCGUAGGUAACCUGCCUGGUAGCGGGGGAUAACUAUUGGAAACGAUAGCUAAUACCGCAUAAUAUUGACUAUUGCAUGAUAGUCAGUUGAAAGGUGCAACUGCACCACUACCAGAUGGACCUGCGUUGUAUUAGCUAGUUGGUGGGGUAACGGCUCACCAAGGCGACGAUACAUAGCCGACCUGAGAGGGUGAUCGGCCACACUGGGGCUGAGACACGGCCCAGACUCCUACGGGAGGCAGCAGUAGGGAAUCUUCGGCAAUGGACGGAAGUCUGACCGAGCAACGCCGCGUGAGUGAAGAAGGUUUUCGGAUCGUAAAGCUCUGUUGUAAGAGAAGAACGAGUGUGAGAGUGGAAAGCUCACACUGUGACGGUAUCUUACCAGAAAGGGACGGCUAACUACGUG
rnacentral:rRNA from 1 species